rnacentral:lncRNA from 1 species
GUGUUUCAUAUCUGUUUUUCGUUGUUUUUUUUAUACAAAUAAGGCCGUUAGUUUUCUCGUUUGAAUUGUUUUACAUUGUCAUAUCGGGGCCUUUUAUAGCUGACUAUGCGGUAAGGGCUUUGCUCAUUGUUGAAGGCCGUACGGUGACCUAUAGUUGUUAAUGUCUGUGUCAUUUUGGUCUCUUGUGGACAGUUGUCUCAUUGGCAAUCAUACCACAUCAUCUUUUUUUAAAU